GUAACCUAGAGGGGACAGUGUAGGUAGGGUGGAGAGGUAGCUGAUUUGCAUAUUGGCUUACCGGCUAGGAAUAGUUAGAGCUGUCCGCUCUGAUGAUAGAUCAUACUAAGUUGGUCAGGUAUACUUUGGCCUCCUUCAGUCAUAGUUGCAACAUGCAUGGUUGUCUUUAUUUGUGACUUAUUUCACACUCAGGGUCAAGAAAGUGAUUCUUCAGAAACCUCUGUGCGAGGACCCCGGAUCAAACAUGUCUGCAGAAGAGCUGCUGUCGCCCUUGGCCGCAAGCGAGCUGUGUUUCCUGACGACAUGCCCACCUUGAGUGCCUUACCGUGGGAAGAACGAGAAAAAAUUUUGUCUUCCAUGGGGAAUGAUGGUAAGUCAGGGAAGUCGACCUUGGAGCUGCAUUUAUAUGCUUUCGUUCUGCAGAUGCCAGUAGGUUCCUCGUAGUUUGUUAGACUGGAUUAAAACUGAACAAACCCAAACCAGGUAGCCAGAGGGUAUCAAAUACGUGAGGACUUAGUUAGAGGAAGUGCCUCAGAGAGAAAAGGAAG
rnacentral:lncRNA from 1 species